GAGUUCAUGCCCUCACGGGUAGACCUCCCACCCUUUGUAUACCUUACCUUUUGUUGCUUUGACGGGCCGCCUAGCUACUGGCUUCGGCUGGUAAGUGCCCGCCAGAGGACCCAAACCCAUUUAUAGUGUCGUCUGAGAAAAAAGUUUAAUAUUUAAAACUUUCAACAACGGAUCUCUUGGCUCU
rnacentral:misc_RNA from 1 species